rnacentral:rRNA from 1 species
GCCAGAGGGGGACUGAGACACGGCCCCCACUCCUACGGGAGGCAGCAGCUAAGAAUAUUGCACAAUGGACGAAAGUCUGAUGCAGCGACACCGCGUGAGGGAUGAAGGUUUUAGGAUUGUAAACCUCUUUUAUUAGGGAAUAGCAAGGAAGGUACCUAAUGAAUAAGCUACGGCUAACUACGUGCCAGCAGCCGCGGUAAUACGUAGGUAGCGAACGUUGUCCGGAAUCACUGGGCGUAAAGGGUCCGUAGGCGGUUUGAUAAGUCUCAUAUGAAAACUUCAAGCUCAACUUGGAGAGGUUGUGAGAUACUGUCAAACUAGAGACUGUUAGAGGUAAGUGGAAUUCCAGGUGUAGUGGUGAAAUGCGUAGAUAUCUGGAGGAACACCAGUGGCGAAAGCGACUUACUGGGACAGUUCUGACGCUAAGGGACGAAAGCGUGGGGAGCGAACCGGAUUAGAUACCCGGGUAGUCCACGCCGUAAACGAUGAUUGCUAGGUUUUCGGGGCAUCGACCCCUCGUGAGCCGAAGUUAACGCGUUAAGCAAUCCGCCUGAGUAGUACGGCCGCAAGGCUAAAACUCAAAGAAAUUGACGGGGGACCGCACAAGCAGCGGAGCGUGUGGUUUAAUUCGAUGGUAAGCGAAGAACCUUACCAGGGUUUGACAUGUAAGUAGUACUGAACCGAAAGGGGAUGGACCCGCAAGGGAGCUUACACAGGUGUUGCAUGGUUGUCGUCAGCUCGUGCCGUGAGGUGUUGGGUUAAGUCCCGCAACGAGCGCAACCCUCUUUGUUAGUUGCACUCUCUAACGAUACUGCCCUUAAAAGGGAGGAAGGUGGGGAUGACGUCAAAUCAUCAUGGCUCUUACACCCUGGGCUACACACACGCUACAAUGGCAAGUACAGACGGUUGCCAACCCGCGAGGGGGAGCUAAUCCGAUAAAACUUGUCUCAGUUGGGAUUAUAGGCUGAAAUUCGCCUAUAUGAACGUGGAGUUGCUAGUAAACGCAGGUCAGCACACUGCGUUGAAUACGUUCCCGGUCCUUGUACACACCGCCCGUCACGUCAUGGAAGUUUGUAACACUUGAAGUCGUUGCGCUAACCCUUUGGGAGGCAGACGCCGAGAGUGGGACGGAUGACUGGGACGAAGUCGUAACAAGGUAGCUGUACCGGAAGGUGCG